GCCUCGUCCUCGUCUCCUGGUGGGACGCUGAACGGCGUCGUGUCGAGAUUGUGGCAUUUCCUCUUGGCCUUCUGCUCUUCUCCAGUCGGAGAAACUCUCUCGGGCAGCCAUGGGAGCUCGUUAGAAGAAAAUAAGCAGCAACAGCCUUGAUUUGGGAUCUCAUAAAUGAAUCCCAAUCUCGCUGAUGAUGAUAAAGAUUCUGCAUGAUUAUACGAGAAAGGGUAUAUUUCCUCGAAUUCGCCUUUUUCUACCGGGCUGCAGCACUUUCUCGACAACCAAACAACCCCAGAACCCAGGGAUCAGCGGUACUAGCCCUUUAAGCUCAGAAUGCGCACUAGACCGAGCUUUCGUUCCGGGAAAAGCUGUGGUUUCGACCCCGAAGACCCGUCUUUACGUCUCUCUCUUCCGGACCCUCUUUCGGCUCUACUUAAGCCUUGGGAGGCUCCAGGAAGUUACAAAGACGCUUUCUGGGAUGUGCAACUUCGGUUUUGUUCCGGAUUUGUACCUGUGGAAUCGUCUAAUUCACCAUCUGAAUACCACUGGUUUGGUCUCGCAGGUAUGUGUGAUUUACAGCAAGAUGAUAACUUGUGGGGUUUCCCCCGAUGUUUUUACUCACAAUGUGUUGAUUCACUCUUUGUGCAAAGUGGGUAAACUGAGCUUUGCGGUUAGCAUAGUCAGAAAUACGGCAAUCAAAGUCGAUGCUGUUACCUAUAAUAUUGUCAUUUGGGGUUUGUGUGAGCAUGGUCUGGCUGACGAGGCCUAUGGGUUUCUGUCUGAAAUGGUGAAGAAGGGUAUAAUGCCCGAUUGCGUUAGCUACAAGACCUUGAUUAAUGGGUUUUGUCAGGAAGGAGGCCUUUUUAGAUCUAAGGCUCUAACUGAUGAAAUCUCUGAACCAACACCGGCAAGUACUUACUGCAAGCACCGAGCCAUUGAAAAAGCGUGUUCUUUGUACCGGCAAAUGGUUAAAGGUGGGCUGCUGCCCGACAUUGUUACUUGUGGUUCGAUUAUCAGCGGAUUGUGCAAGAAUGGAAGAAUUGUUGAAGCAUGGUUGCUACUAAGGGAAAUGGAGAAGACAGGUGUGGAUCCCAACCGCGUAUGUUAUACUGUUCUUGUUGAUUCACUGUUUAAAGCAGAAAGUUGCCACAAUGCGUUGGCUCUUCAUAGUCAGAUGGUUGUGCGUGGGAUUCCGUUUGAUUUGGUUCUGUAUACCAUUUUGAUGGAUGGACUCUUUAAGUCCGGAAAGCAUGUCGAAGCUGAGGACACCUUUAGGAUGUUGUUGUUAGAAGAUAAUCUUCCAAAUGUCAUCACCUACACUGCUUUGAUGGAUGGUUUAUGCAAAGUGGGAGAUAUAAUUGGUGCAGAAUCUGUCCUAUCACUGAUGGCGGAGAAAGGUGUUCUUCCCAAUGUUGUCACAUAUUCAUGUAUGAUAAAUGGCUAUGUGAAGAAAGGAAUGCUCAAAGAAGCUGUUAGUGUUAUGAGGGAAAUGAUUGACAAAAACGUUAUGCCGAAUGCUUUUACAUAUGCUUCACUUAUUGAUGGCUUCUUUAAAGCUGGUCAACAAGAAGUUGCAUUUGAACUCUCUGAUGAAAUAAAGCUCAUGGGGUUGGAGAAGAACAAAUAUAUUCUGGAUGCCCUAGUGAAUCACUUCAAAAGAAUUGGAAAGAUGGAAGAAGUUGCUGGGUUAGCCAGAGGCAUGGUUUCUAGAGGUGUGUUGUUGGAUCAUGUUAACUACACAUCUUUGAUGGAUGGGUUCUUUAAGGAGGGGAAUGAAUCAGCAGCUAUAGAGUGGGCUGAAGAGAUGUCAAAGAAAGGCAUUCCGUUAGAUAUUGUUUCUUACAAUGUGUACAUCAAUGGUUUGUUAAAGCUCGGCAAAUAUGAAGCUGACUCAGUCUAUACAGGAGCGGAAGAACAAGGUUUAGCUCCAGAUGUUGCUACAUAUAACACCAUGAUUACUGCUCAUCGUAAGCAGGGAAAACUUGGAAGUAUUGUCAAGCUGUGGGAUGAGAUGAAGAGUUACCGAAUAAAACCAAAUAUGAUCACAUGCAACAUUUUGGUCGGAAUGCUUUGUGAAAAAGGAGAGAUGGAGAAAGCAAUGGAUAUACUGAAUGAAAUGUUGAUUAUGGGGAGCCAUCCUAAUUUGACAACCUAUCGGAUUUUGCUUAAUGCUUCUUCAAAGUGUGGAAGAGCUGAUGCAAUUCUCAAAAUGCACAAUAAACUCCUGGAUUCGGGAAUCAAGCUCAGUGGCUCGAUUUAUAACACUCUUAUUACAACUUUAUGCAGAUUAGGUAUGACAAAGAAGGCGUCUGAGACGAAAAAAGAUAUGGAAGACAAAGGCUUCUCCCCCGAUACUAUCACGUUUAAUGCCCUUAUUCAUGGGUACUUUGUAGGCAGUCAUGUAGCAAAGGCUCUGGCUACAUAUUAUGAUAUGCUGGAGAAGGGUUUAACCCCAGAUUUGACGACCUAUAAUACAAUUAUAAAGGGUCUCUUGGAUUCUAGUCGGAUGGCGGAAGUGGAAAAAUGGUUUUGCGAGAUGAAGAACAGAGGUCUUCAUCCGGACUCUUCCACUUACGAUACUUUGGUUUUUGGUCAUGCGAAGAUAGGGGACGUGAAGGAAAGCUUCAAGAUGUUCUUUGAAAUGAUUGCCAGAGGGCUUGUACCCAAAACCAGCACUUAUAAUGUGCUUAUCAAGAAAUCCAUAAAGGAUAAAAGGAUGGAUCGUGCAAGAGCUCUAAUGAUGGACAUGAAAGAGAGAGGAGUCAGCCCCAAUUCUUCAACAUAUGAUAUCAUGAUAUCUGGCCUGUGCGAACUUAGCACCCCUCCAAAGGUUAAUAGGAAACAGAGAUCACUGCACUUGGAAGAGGCGAAGGGGCUGUUAAUGGAGAUGGAUGAAAAGGGACUGGUCCCAUUUGACCGUACAAUUUCCCACAUCUGUUCUGCAUUUUCUGAACCGGGAAUGGAGGCCAAUUGGGAAAGACGCUUAAAGGAGUAUUACAGCAAGAAAAAGAGUUGCAGUUCUUUAAACUCAUAAAUGUUUGUGUGUGGGAAGGAAUAUACUCAGGCAGAAAGGACUGUCUUCCGAUUCUAUCAUAUCAUGCAAGUAUAUGGGUCGUCGACUGUGAUCAUGUUGUGCCGAUUAAUCUGGGCCGUUCAGACAAGAUCUUACGAGCUUAGAAUGCAAACAGGUGAAGCCCGAGAAGAGUAGAGAUGGGUAUAGGUCCAAAUUCCAAUAUAUGUAGAUUGAGCCUAGCAUGGGCUUAUGGGCCGUUCUAAAUUGGGCCUAAGAUGGGCUUAUGGGUCGUUCUAAUGUUACAUGCUUGCAUCGCAUGGACGAACAAGGAGACGCCGCGUGUAUAGAAAUAUACAAUACGACUUGGGAUAAGUGUGUAUUUAUGGGAAGUGGGGUAUUUUUAGAUUUU